AGCUGCAAGGGUGAUCUGACUGCAAUGUCUGUCACGCCUUGGAGCACCGGGUUGAGUUGGUGGAUUUGGCUGGCUAGGUGUCCCCUUCUUCCUUUACUACUCCAUAUGCAUCUCUCCUGAUGCUGGGGUGAGAACCUUCCUCCACGGAGAAGGACCAUUCCUUGGUCAAGUGUAUAUGAGUAGCCAUGCUGCCCUGCUCGAACCUCCAAAAAAGGUUCUCAAAAUAGAAAUUUAUGUCCAAGUCAACCUUCCAGUUUGAUAGUCCUG
rnacentral:snRNA from 1 species